rnacentral:rRNA from 1 species
UACGGAGGGUGCGAGCGUUGUCCGGAAUCAUUGGGCGUAAAGGGCGCGUAGGUGGCCACUUCAAGCGUGCGGUGAAAGUCGGGGGCUCAACCCCUGAUCGGCCGUGCGAACUGGGGGGCUGGAGCACUGUAGAGGCAGGCGGAAUUCCGGGUGUAGCGGUGGAAUGCGUAGAGAUCCGGAAGAACACCGGUGGCGAAGGCGGCCUGCUGGGUAGUUUUGCUGACACUGAGGCGCGACAGCGUGGGGAGCAAACAGG